rnacentral:rRNA from 1 species
GUGCAGCAGGCGCGAAACUUCACACUGUGCGAAAGCACGAUGAGGGAAUCCCAAGUGCUUGCACGUAAGUGUAAGCUGUUUCUCUGUUUAAAACGCAGAGAGAGUAAGGGCUGGGUAAGACGGGUGCCAGCCGCCGCGGUAAUACCUGCAGCUCAAGUGGUGACCGUUAUUAUUGGGCCUAAAACGUCCGUAGCCGGUUUAAUAAAUGCCUGGGUAAAUCGUGUAGCUUAACUAUACGAAUUCCGGGUAGACUGUUAAACUCGAGACCGGGAGAAGUUAGAGGUACUCCUGGGGUAGAGGUGAAAUUCUGUAAUCCUAGGGGGACCACCAGUGGCGAAGGCGUCUAACUAGAACGGGUCUGACGGUGAGGGACGAAGCCCUGGGGCGCAAACGGGAUUAGAUACCCGUGUAGU